UUUCGCUGGUUCCAGUUUGCCCGG
rnacentral:siRNA from 1 species